UUAAGCGACUAAGCGUACACGGUGGAUGCCCUGGCAGUCAGAGGCGAUGAAGGACGUGCUAAUCUGCGAAAAGCGCCGGCGAGGUGAUAUGAACCCUUGACCCGGCGAUGUCCGAAUGGGGAAACCCAGUGCAAUCCGUUGCACUAUCGUUAACUGAAUACAUAGGUUAACGAGGCGAACCGGGGGAACUGAAACAUCUAAGUACCCCGAGGAAAAGAAAUCAACCGAGAUUCCCCCAGUAGCGGCGAGCGAACGGGGAGCAGCCCGGAGUCUGAAUCAGCUUGUGUGUUAGUGGAACGGUCUGGAAAGUCCGACGGUACAGGGUGACAGUCCCGUACACGAAAGCACACAUGCUGUGAACUCGAAGAGUAGGGCGGGACACGUGGUAUCCUGUCUGAAUAUGGGGGGACCAUCCUCCAAGGCUAAAUACUCCUGACUGACCGAUAGUGAACCAGUACCGUGAGGGAAAGGCGAAAAGAACCCCGGCGAGGGGAGUGAAAAAGAACCUGAAACCGUGUACGUACAAGCAGUGGGAGCCUCUUUAUGGGGUGACUGCGUACCUUUUGUAUAAUGGGUCAGCGACUUAUAUUCUGUAGCAAGGUUAACCGUAUAGGGGAGCCGAAGGGAAACCGAGUCUUAACUGGGCGUUAAGUUGCAGGGUAUAGACCCGAAACCCGGUGAUCUAGCCAUGGGCAGGUUGAAGGUUGGGUAACACUAACUGGAGGACCGAACCGACUAAUGUUGAAAAAUUAGCGGAUGACCUGUGGCUGGGGGUGAAAGGCCAAUCAAACCGGGAGAUAGCUGGUUCUCCCCGAAAGCUAUUUAGGUAGCGCCUCGUGAACUCAUCUUCGGGGGUAGAGCACUGUUUCGGCUAGGGGGCCAUCCCGGCUUACCAACCCGAUGCAAACUACGAAUACCGAAGAAUGUUAUCACGGGAGACACACGGCGGGUGCUAACGUCCGUCGUGAAGAGGGAAACAACCCAGACCGCCAGCUAAGGUCCCAAAGUCAUGGUUAAGUGGGAAACGAUGUGGGAAGGCACAGACAGCCAGGAUGUUGGCUUAGAAGCAGCCAUCAUUUAAAGAAAGCGUAAUAGCUCACUGGUCGAGUCGGCCUGCGCGGAAGAUGUAACGGGGCUAAACCAUGCACCGAAGCUGCGGCAGCGACGCUUAUGCGUUGUUGGGUAGGGGAGCGUUCUGUAAGCCGUUGAAGGUGUGCUGUGAGGCAUGCUGGAGGUAUCAGAAGUGCGAAUGCUGACAUAAGUAACGAUAAAGCGGGUGAAAAGCCCGCUCGCCGGAAGACCAAGGGUUCCUGUCCAACGUUAAUCGGGGCAGGGUGAGUCGACCCCUAAGGCGAGGCCGAAAGGCGUAGUCGAUGGGAAACAGGUUAAUAUUCCUGUACUUGGUGUUACUGCGAAGGGGGGACGGAGAAGGCUAUGUCAGCCGGGCGACGGUUGUCCCGGUUUAAGCAUGUAGGCGGAGGUUCCAGGUAAAUCCGGUACCUUAUUAACGCUGAGGUGUGAUGACGAGGCACUACGGUGCUGAAGUGAUAAAUGCCCUGCUUCCAGGAAAAGCCUCUAAGCAUCAGGUAACACGAAAUCGUACCCCAAACCGACACAGGUGGUCAGGUAGAGAAUACCAAGGCGCUUGAGAGAACUCGGGUGAAGGAACUAGGCAAAAUGGUGCCGUAACUUCGGGAGAAGGCACGCUGAUAUGUAGGUGAAGCCCCUGCGGGCGGAGCUGAAAUCAGUCGAAGAUACCAGCUGGCUGCAACUGUUUAUUAAAAACACAGCACUGUGCAAACACGAAAGUGGACGUAUACGGUGUGACGCCUGCCCGGUGCCGGAAGGUUAAUUGAUGGGGUUAGCGGCAACGCGAAGCUCUUGAUCGAAGCCCCGGUAAACGGCGGCCGUAACUAUAACGGUCCUAAGGUAGCGAAAUUCCUUGUCGGGUAAGUUCCGACCUGCACGAAUGGCGUAAUGAUGGCCAGGCUGUCUCCACCCGAGACUCAGUGAAAUUGAACUCGCUGUGAAGAUGCAGUGUACCCGCGGCAAGACGGAAAGACCCCGUGAACCUUUACUAUAGCUUGACACUGAACACUGGUCCUUGAUGUGUAGGAUAGGUGGGAGGCUUUGAAGCGUGGACGCCAGUCUGCGUGGAGCCAACCUUGAAAUACCACCCUUUAAUGGCUGGUGUUCUAACGUGGACCCGUUACCCGGGUUGCGGACAGUGUCUGGUGGGUAGUUUGACUGGGGCGGUCUCCUCCCAAAGAGUAACGGAGGAGCACGAAGGUUGGCUAAUCCUGGUCGGACAUCAGGAGGUUAGUGCAAUGGCAUAAGCCAGCUUGACUGCGAGCGUGACGGCGCGAGCAGGUGCGAAAGCAGGUCAUAGUGAUCCGGUGGUUCUGAAUGGAAGGGCCAUCGCUCAACGGAUAAAAGGUACUCCGGGGAUAACAGGCUGAUACCGCCCAAGAGUUCAUAUCGACGGCGGUGUUUGGCACCUCGAUGUCGGCUCAUCACAUCCUGGGGCUGAAGUAGGUCCCAAGGGUAUGGCUGUUCGCCAUUUAAAGUGGUACGCGAGCUGGGUUUAGAACGUCGUGAGACAGUUCGGUCCCUAUCUGCCGUGGGCGCUGGAGAAUUGAGGGGGGCUGCUCCUAGUACGAGAGGACCGGAGUGGACGCAUCACUGGUGUUCGGGUUGUCAUGCCAAUGGCACUGCCCGGUAGCUAAAUGCGGAAGAGAUAAGUGCUGAAAGCAUCUAAGCACGAAACUUGCCCCGAGAUGAGUUCUCCCUGAGACUUUAAGUCUCCUGAAGGAACGUUGAAGACGACGACGUUGAUAGGUCGGGUGUGUAAGCGCAGCGAUGCGUUGAGCUAACCGAUACUAAUGAACCGUGAGGCUUAACCUU
rnacentral:rRNA from 2 species